UGGUCAAACCCGCAAUGUCCCAUACAACCCAUUGAAGGCUGAUUCCAGAUUGUCCACGGAUCCACCCCUUUCCUAACUGAACUCAAGAUAAUCGAUCCGCAACCCGCUGAUGACGUGUACGGCCAGAUCUAAUCACAACCUCCCACCAAAACCUAAAAAGAUAAUUACACCUCGCAAAUCCACGAGCUCCUCGCGAUCGGUGGAAUUUUUCUCGUUCCCAAAUUUUCUCCUCUCGCGAGCUCUGUGGAUCCGGCGGCGACCCCUUCAAUUCCUCGUCCAGCAUCUCAAAUUGAAACCCUAAUCAAUCGAUUUAUCUCCGCAAGACCUCCGAUCCGAUCUCAAUCUAGUAAUCUCGUUAAAAAAAAACAGGCUUUAAGUCCACCUUAGAUCCAUCCGUCUAAUCCUGAUCGCAAACCCUAAUGGCGAAGCAUCGGAAUGAAGAUAGUUUGGAUGAGGGUUCUCUGCACGCGGACGAUUUGAAGCAGCAGUGUAGAUCUAGGGUUUGGACGAGGGAUGUGAUGAGGUACCCUGUUCAACGGAACUAUAAUCAGGAUCUGUACUCGUUUGCUUGGGCUCAGGCGGUGCAGAACAAGCCGUUAGGGUUAGAUGUGAGGCCUGAGGAGGAUGAAAUUGAGUACGAAAUCGAUGAUGGUGAUGAUGAACUUGUUGGAGAGAAUAUGGGUGGGGUUGAGGGCGAGGUUGAGAAGGAGGAGGGUGAGAUAGAGGAAGGAGAGAUUGAAUUGGGAUAUGAAUCAGUGAAUCUCGAACCAGGGAAUCUUGAAUCAGUCGAGGGGGGGAACGAGGAGGAGGAGAUUGAGAAAGAUAUGGAUUUGGAAGAGAAGGAAGAAGAGAUUGGUGAAUUUGAUAAGCAAUUUGGUGAUAUUUUAGAGGAAUUAGAAACUAUUACGAUAGAAGAGGCAGAAUCAUCGUUUGAAGAAGUUUGUUCUCGGUUGCAAAAGUGUUUCGCGAGCUUGAAGCAAAUGUAUUCAGAAGGGCACGGACCAGUUCUUGAUGUUCUAUCUCAGCAAGCAUUCAUGGGGAUUCAAACUGUUUAUUCUGCUUUUAAUUCGGGGAAUUUGAAGAAAGAUCGUCAGAAUGAAGAAAGGCUGCUAAGGUUCCUGGUUCACAUUAAAAACCAAUAUUCUGCUUGUUUAACACCCGAGCAAGUGAAAGAGUUAGAUGUGAAGUUGCAAGAACUGGCUUCUGAAUCUGUUAGGACAGGAAAAACAACCGAAAGGCCUGCAAUAGUUGCAGAGAAACCUAUGUCCAAUGCAAGAGGUGGCCAAGUUUUGGGCAAUAACAUUGAAAAACCUACUUUGGGAAAGUUAGAAGUACCUACCCCUAGGGCUCGAGUUGAUUUUAGUCCAUUGCUCAACCUCCAUGCUGAUUAUGAUGAAGACAGCCUCCCUUCACCCACUCGUAAUAAUGCACCACCAUUGCCUAUGAUGAAGCCGCCUGGAUUCGGAAAAGGUGAAAUCCCUUUUGCUCAACCCAUUGCCCCUAAAAAUCUUCAAGCUGAGAAUGGCACGUCACAUCAUUAUGUGACUGAUGCAUUUAAGGCAGUAUCGUCAUAUCAGCAGAAAUAUGGAAAGAACUCUGUCGUCACGAGUACUCGGCUUCCCAGCCCGACUCCUUCUGAGGAUGGAAAUGGCGGUGACGAUGAUGUUAUUAGUGAAGUAUCAAGUUUGUUUGUUGCUGGUAACGUUGGAGCCAGUGGACCUUGUACUGCUCCGCCAAUGACUUCUGUUAACAGCUCAGCUGGUUAUCAAGUGUCUCGUGCUUAUACUUCAGGUGGACUGCAAAUGCCCCCAGUUAAUAGCUCAGGUGGUUUUCAAAUGGCUCCUGCUUAUUGUUCAGCUGGUCCUUUAGAACCAAACCCUAUUGUAAAGGCGUCGGUAAAGAGUAGAGAUCCCAGGCUUAGGUUCAUGAAUUCUGAAAUUGAUGGUGCUCCUCAGAGUGGGUUUACUGCUGCAGGACCAUUGAAUUCUAGAAAACACAAGGUAGUUGAGGAGCCUCUGCCAGUGGAGGAUAACUUGAAAAGGCAAAGAAUGAUAGCAGCACAUAAUGGCACGGUAGCAUCUCAACAGAACAGUGGAGUUCAAUUGAACAAUAGAGAAGUUGGUUCUGAAAGGAGAUUCGAUUCGAGCCAUAACUUCAAUGGUUUGCACAGUAGUUCAGUUCCUAAUUUGUUAAGCGGUUGUGCACCUGUUGUCUCGUUGCCUUCUCUUUUUAAGGGCAUUGCAGUGAACCCUACGAUGCUUAUGAAUCUGCUUAAGAUGGAGCAACAAAAAAGAGCGGCAGGAGAAGCUCAGCAGAAUGCUGCUGGUGCUGUAUCGUCAUCAUCAGAUGCUGGGAAGAAUCCCACAUCUAAACCCCAGAUGUCUCCCCAAACAGUGACCAUGAAUGCUCAGAAUGACAUUGGAAAAAUUCGCAUGAAACCUCGUGACCCUCGGCGUGUCCUUCACAGCAAUAUUGAGACUUCAAGCUCUGAACCAUUGAAAACUAGUGGCAGUCUCUCAUCAGAUGCACAGAGCAGCAAGGAUCAUUCACCAGUUAGAGAGCAAGGAGAGCAGUCACAGACAACCACAUCAUACCCAAUUCCAAGUAAAAUAAGUAAUAAUCCAACUGAACCUAAGAGUGUACAUGGAGUAUGCAGCCAAAGGGAGACUGCAAGUACGUCAAAAUCAGCAAAUCCGUGGGGGGAUGUAGAUCAUUUAUUAGAUGGCUAUGAUGACCAACAAAAAGCUGCUAUACAAAAAGAGAGAGCGAGAAGGAUAGAAGAACAAAAUAAAAUGUUCGCCGCUCGAAGGCUCUGUCUCGUACUUGACCUAGAUCAUACACUUCUCAACUCUGCCAAGUUUGUAGAAGUAGAUCCAGUUCAUGAAGAGAUCCUGAGGAAGAAGGAAGAACAAGACAGACAGAUGCCAGAGAGGCACCUUUUUAGAUUUCCACAUAUGGGAAUGUGGACCAAGCUGAGACCGGGAAUAUGGAGAUUUCUAGAGAAGGCAAGCAAGCUCUAUGAACUUCAUUUAUACACAAUGGGGAACAAGCUGUAUGCAACUGAGAUGGCAAAGGUCCUUGACCCGAAGGGGACUUUAUUUUCUGGACGAGUGAUCUCAAAGGGUGAUGACGAUGAUUCUAUUGAUGGUGACGAGAGGGUACCUAAGAGCAAGGAUCUUGAUGGAGUAUUGGGUAUGGAAUCAGCUGUGGUGAUUAUAGAUGAUUCCUUGAGGGUCUGGCCACAUAACAAGCACAAUUUAAUUGUUGUAGAAAGGUACACAUAUUUCCCCUCUAGUAGACGGCAGUUCGGGCUAGCUGGGCCUUCACUUCUGGAGAUUGAUCAUGACGAGAGACCGGAAGCUGGGACUCUAGCUUCGUCACUGGCGGUCAUCGAACGAUUACAUCAGAUCUUCUUCUCUCACGACUCAUUAAAUGAAGUAGACAUCAGAAACAUACUUGCUUCUGAGCAAAGGAAGAUUCUCGCUGGAUGCAAGAUAGUCUUCAGUAGAGUGUUUCCGGUGGGCGAAGCCAAUCCUCAUCUCCAUCCUCUAUGGCAGACUGCUGAGCAGUUUGGUGCUGAGUGCACAAAUCAAAUAGAUGAGAAAGUUACUCAUGUUGUUGCAAACUCCAGGGGAACAGAUAAGGUGAAUUGGGCUCUCUCCACAGGAAGAUUUGUCGUCUACCCAGGAUGGGUAGAAGCCUCAGCUCUGUUGUAUCGGCGCGCGAAUGAGCAUGAUUUUGCUGUUAAAGCAUAAACCCUAACAAAUCAUAACACCAAACUUGACUACCCUUGGCAAAAUUUAAACGAUAAUUAAUUUAUCGGUCAAGCCGGUAACUUAUACCCAUAAAUCCUCGCCUAAAUAAUGGAGGAUUACAAAUGAGACACGGUCAGACGUGAAAGAAGAUUGAGAAGGGUACUGAACUGAAGACUUUAACCAAACAGAAUAAUGAAAGCAAAUGGUUAAUGGCCAAAAACCCCAUCGUAUGUUGGUAUUUCUUUUGUGGCCAAAGGCUGCUGGACACGUGUCAGUAUGGGGCCUCCUGACACGUGGGACUGAGAGGGGUUGAAUGAAGGAGACGUGCUAUUAUUGGAGGGGACCGGAGUUUGCUGAAAAUGGUAACUUGAAGCUCAAAGGGGGGGUUUCUGACGUCAUAAUGCUAAAGAAGGCGAUAAAGAGCAGUGGACCUGAUUCUUUGUACUCGACAACAUAGAAAUCGCUAAAAUUAAUUAAAAAAGAUUAAAAAAGGAUAAAUUUCUGACGUCAUAAUGCUGGACUAGGAAAGAGAGGCUUCACAUUUAAUUCUACGUGGGUGGUUUAUUAUGUUGGAUUUAUUGCUUCCUAGUAGCUGGAAUCAUCUGUCAUUAUUGGCUCAGAGAAAAGGUACUGUCUUGAUGCUAAUUAUAGCAAUUGACCGGCAUCAGAAUUUUCAUAUUCCAGAAAAAAAUAUGUUAAAAAC